GAGCGUUGAACGUUCACGGACGUUUAUCAUUUUCGUUAAAAAUAAACCAAUAGGUGAAUUUUGAGUUAACGAAGUCAAAAAUAUAAAAUUCUUGCAUGAACACGUAGAGUAUGUGAUUUGUGAACUAAUGGAUUUUGAACGAGCCAAUUCGGACAUAAAAUGAUCAAAAUGGGAGUCCGGGAAGUUGGUUACGUAAAGAAAAAAAAU
rnacentral:lncRNA from 1 species